GACAACUUGUAAACCCAUGAGGCUUUAACUUAAGUCCUUGAUCAAAACUUCAAGUGGGACCAACGGGAAGAUAAGACCCUGCAGAGCUGAUUUGGAGCUAACUCAGGCUCAACCAAUAUGAGUUGUUGUUUCUGUUGCAUCAAACUGGGGCGGUAAACUAAUUCAUCUAGUUUGUACAUCAAUUGUAUAGCGCCGAAGAUCUUAAACAAGUUAAAGAGUAGUUACCUCAGGGAUAACAGCACAAUGCUUUUAGAGAGGCCUAAUUGAUAAAAGAUCUUGUGACCUCGAUGUUGAAUUAAAGGUGCUGCUUGGUGUAGUAGUUAAGUAAGCUAGUCUGUUCGACUAUUAAACCUUU
rnacentral:rRNA from 1 species